AGGGGAUAAAGGGUUACAUGGUGAAGAGAGAAAUUUGGCACAGCUAAGCAGACCAAGUGGGCUUCCUGGAGGAAGGGGCAUUCGAUUGAGAUUUGAAAGCUUUUUUUUUUUUUUUUUUUUCAUUAUUUGACUGCACCGGGUCUUAGUUGUGGCAUGAGAACUCUGAGUUGCGGCAUGUGGGAUCUAGUUCCCUGACCAGGGAUCAAACCCAGGCCUCCUAAAUUGGGAGCGAGGAGUAUUAGCCACUGGACUACCAGGGAGGUCCCAGAUUUUUUUUUUUAAAUCUUGAGUAUUGAAAGGGAAGCAAGGUCGAGUGAAGUCCCUGACAGAAGGGGCAGCUGAGGUGAAGCAGGUGAGACCUGGACUGUGUCGAUCAGACUAGUUGGGAUCCCAUUGCUAAGGAUGGACCACGUGGCUUUGUGGAGGUGCCUUCUCCUCCGAACAUAUUUCCUCACUGGAAGAGAAGAAAGACUGUGAAGAUACUGAAACAACACGUGUGAAACAGCCGCCCAACCCUGUGGGUGCUGCUCCUGUCUGACUUACUCCGGUCUGACUCUAGUGGUGGCCUGGCGGGCGUUCCAGGCAGGUGGUGACACUCCUGUGUCUCUGGUUUGAAGGGAAUCAUUAGACAUCAAAUGAACACUCCUUAGGAAGAGAUAAAUGUUGUCCUCUGUCAGAGCCGUGGCCCUGUCACCAGGGCAGGUGACCAGGACUGCACAACCAACAGCCCAGGCUCUGCGGUUCCAGCUCUGCGUCCCGGCUGCUCUCCAGCAGGAAAGGAGGCCAAGGCCUGUGCCCACUUCACACAGAGCACCUCAGGGCCUCGCCCUGGGGUUCCUGCCAAAGAGUCCUUCUUGCAUCACACCUGGAGGCCACCCCAGCCAGCAAGUCCAUCAGGAGGAAUAACACGUUCAGUCAACAGGCACCUGCUUACACAUUUUCUACUCAGAGAUAACUGCUCAGUCAGAGCUCUUCAGACCUCAAAGUGGCCCGGGGCCUGGGUCUGGUGGGGAGGUGCUGCUUUGGCAACACAGAAGCCUCUGCUGCCUCUGGGAGCUGAGCCCACACCUUUCCUUCAAUCUGCAGGUGGUUUCAGAGAACAGGUCUGCAAGACAGAGGCCACCAAGCAGCUAGCUGGCAACACACAGAGCAGCUUCCUCUCCCUUCCAGACUCAAGCAUCCCCUGGAGCGAGGCUACCUUUUGAGGGUCCGCUUGGACCUCGGUUGAUGUGUCCACAUCCACAUGGUUUAGUUUAGCCGGUUACUUUCCUCUGGACACUAGGAGUCAGUGGCGGGGUGU
rnacentral:lncRNA from 1 species